UCCAUCAUUGUCAAUUCACCUUAAAUUCUUGACUCUUUCCUCUUCAAGGGUGUUUCUGAAAGCAAAAGCUCUGUGUCCACACUACAUUAAGUAAACAACAGCCCUCUUACUGUGGUCUGACUGUUUAUGUCCCCCCAAAAUUUAUAUAUUGAAAUCUAAUCACCACAGUGAUAGAAUGAGGUCAUAGAUAGGAUGAGGUCAUGAGGGUGGAACCCUCAUGGUUGGGCUUAUUUCCAUACAAAAGACAUAUAGAGAGCUACCUAAUCUCUUCAAUGGUGUAAGGACAGAGUGAGAAGGUGCCAUCUAUGAGCCAGGAAACAGGCUCUCGUCAGACACCAAUGCAGCCAGUGACUUGCUCUUGAACUUCCCAGCCUCCAGAACUGAAACGAAUGUCAUCAUUGAAGAAUUUUGUCCUUCUGACCUAUUUGAGUACAGUCUGAGAAGAUGCAUUGUAGAACACUUUGGAAAUUUGUCCAUGCUGACCUUCAUGGUAACACAAAAGAUGAAGGAGUGUGUGUCUUCAGGAAGGUCUCGUUCAGCGGGAUUGCAUAGGCCAUUUUCUGAGGAGGUGCCCUUCCUUCUGCAUUGGCUUAUUCCAUCCACGGAGAUGUCCCAGAAGCCUUCACCAGCAGCAAUGGCACAGAGACGGUCAUCCCUUAAGGAAAAUAUGGGCCCAGUCCUCUGCUAAACAGAAACUAUCUUCCAUCUACCAAGAGAAGGACUGAUUUUCUAAGAAUCAGAAUGGAAUUGUGGAAACCAUCUGAAUACAGGAGAAAGGUGGACAGCUUCUUACAGUGCACUUACGUGAAAUUUCAUCUUCUCUGUAAUCAGAUAAAAUGAAUAAAGCGAGUUUCUCAUGUUCAUUGCCAAUGCUUACAAGAAACACUAUUUGGAGUGAUUAUUAGCAAAUCCAGCAGCUUAUGUUGCACUGCUUGGGAUUUAAACUGAUCGCUUAACACUUCUCCAAAUCUCUUUCACCGUUUCAGUAAUUAGGAAACAAU
rnacentral:lncRNA from 1 species